GCCCGUGUGUGUCCUCGGCGGCCUGGCGCCGGCCGUCGCUGUACGGUCUAUCAGCCACAGUCUCUGCAAGUUUCCAAGAGCAGCAGAAAAUGAACACAUUGCAGGGGCCAGUGUCAUUCAAAGAUGUGGCUGUGGAUUUCACCCAGGAGGAGUGGCAGCAACUGGACCCUGAUGAGAAGAUAGCAUACGGGGAUGUGAUGUUGGAGAACUACAGCCAUCUAGUUUCUGUGGGGUAUGAUUAUCACCAAGCCAAACAUCAUCAUGGAGUGGAGGUGAAGGAAGUGGAGCAGGGAGAGGAGCCGUGGAUAAUGGAAGGUGAAUUUCCAUGUCAACAUAGUCCAGCUUUCACAGCAUUGAAAAGAUCAUUGGCUGGUGGCUCUGACUGUUUCCGGCUAUGACGAUGUACCACUCGGGACCCUUUCUCUGGAUGUUUGCCAUCUAAUAUGUAUAAAAAGAUCAGAAAUAUGAAAAAAAGGUAACAAUGACAUUAA
rnacentral:lncRNA from 1 species